rnacentral:sRNA from 1 species
GUCCAGACGGUAGGAUAGCAGCGGCAUCCUUUUUAUUGUUCCUUUAGCAAGAAAAAGAUAUAGCGGAUAGCGGGAAACAGC